rnacentral:rRNA from 1 species
CCUACGGGUGGCAGCAGUGAGGAAUAUUGGUCAAUGGGCGGAAGCCUGAACCAGCCAAGUCGCGUGAGGGAAUAAGGCCCUACGGGUCGUAAACCUCUUUUGCCGGGGAGCAUGGGCGGGGACGUGUCCCGUCCCGGAGAGUACCCGGAGAAAAAGCAUCGGCUAACUCCGUGCCAGCAGCCGCGGUAAUACGGAGGAUGCUAGCGUUAUCCGGAUUUAUUGGGUUUAAGGGGUGCGUAGGCGGGCUUUUGAGUCAGCGGUAAAAAUUCGGGGCUCAACCCCGUCCGGCCGUUGAAACUGGGGGCCUUGAGUGGGCGAGAAGAAGGCGGAAUGCGUGGUGUAGCGGUGAAAUGCAUAGAUAUCACGCAGAACCCCGAUUGCGAAGGCAGCCUUCCGGCGCCCUACUGACGCUGAGGCACGAAAGUGCGGGGAUCGAACAGGAUUAGAUACCCCAGUAGUC